UCCUCUUUCAUAGAAGAAGGAAGGAUGAUUGCAACAGACUAGUUUAACAUGACUGGUGUUUUAAGAGAGAAGAUGGUUAUUUGAUCUGCUGGUCGACAGAAAUUCACAGAUUAACUCAUUUGAGUUGAAUUUUGUCUUCACGUCUACUUGUUUAAGAGAUAAAGGAGGACUAUCAGAAUCUCAUGGCAGCUCUGUCUGAGAACGUGUUGACAGUCAACAUGUUACUGAGUGUCUUCUUUCUUCCAGGUAUUUAUGCUAAUAGUUGUGGUGUGAAUACAUCACUCAUCACCAUUACUACACCAAAG